UGGCCCUUCUUAUAAUUACCUGUCGGUGUGUUUAAAUUCACAGUGUCCAGUCUGAAGUGGUAUUGUGGAGGUAGUGUAUGCAUUUCUCCAUUUAUAUACCACAGAGAAAUUUUUAGAAAAAAGCUUAGUUUGAUUUCUUUUUUCUUAUCAUGUAUUUGUUUCUUUUGCUAAUAUAGAUGUGUCUCAAAUAUCUUUGUUAAAAACACCAUUCCGUCAAUAAAUAAGAUUUUAUUCAUCAUUAUAACAUGUGCAUAUCCCAUUAUUCUCAAAAAUAAUACUUUUUUAACCAAAUAAAUAUCUACCUUUACACAGAAAAAAAAUGAAUUUGCAAAUGUAAAGGACAAUGGAUAUUGCAUACUGUAAUCAAUGAGGCUUUUAUCAAAUAUUUACUUUUUUGCUUUAGUGUAGGACAUGGUCGGAUGAAUAAAUGAGUAAAACAGGUCAAAUGUGUCAAACUUUGAAGUUCAUGGUUAGUUCUGUAGUUCUGAUAUUUACAAAAGAAGUCUUUGAAGCAUCUAAUUUCUCUUGAUGAAGGACUCAUACAGGGAGGUGAGCUGG